rnacentral:rRNA from 1 species
ACACGAGGAAACUUGUGCUAAUACCGGAUAAGUCUUUACGGAGAAAGCUUUAUGCACCAUUGGAUGAGCCUGCACUUGAUUAGUUUGUUGGUGGGGUAAUGGCCUACCAAGACUGUGAUCAAUAGCUGAUUUGAGAGGAUGAUCAGCCACAUUGGGACUGAGACACGGCCCAAACUCCUACGGGAGGCAGCAGUGGGGAAUCUUGCACAAUGGAGGAAACUCUGAUGCAGCGAUGCCGCGUGAGUGAAGAAGGCCUUUGGGUUGUAAAGCUCUUUCGUCGGGGAAGAAAAUGACUGUACCCGAAUAAGAAGGUCCGG